ensembl:misc_RNA Metazoa_SRP Metazoan signal recognition particle RNA
GCUGGGUGCAGUGGCACGUGCCUGUAGUCCCAGCUACUUGGGAGGCUGAGGUGGGAGGAUUGCUUGAGCCCAGGAGUUCUGGGCUGUAGUGUGCCAUGCUGAUCACACUGCAUUAAGUUGGGGAUCAGUAUGGUGACCUCCCAGGAGCAGGGGACCACCAGGUUGUCUAAGGAGGGGUGAACUGGCCCAGGUCAGAAAUGGAGCAGGUCAAAACUCCCGUGCUGAUUAGUAGUGGGAUUGCACCUGUGAAUAGCCACUGCACUCCAGCCUGGGCAACAUAGCAAGACCUCAUCUCUA